rnacentral:lncRNA from 10 species
AGAUGAAGGCAGAGAUCACAUGAUGCAGAGGAAGGCAGGAAGUGCUAAUGAUUUGCAGCAAACCACCAGAAGCUUGACAAGAGGCAUGGAGCAGAUGCUUCCUCACAGCCCUCAGAAGGAACCAACCCGCCAACCCCUUGAUCUCAGAUUUCUGGCCUCCAGAACCGCGAGACAGCAGAUUUCCAUGGCUUGAGCCGCCCGGUUUGUAGUACUUCAUUAUGGCAGCUCCAGCAAACAAAUACAGAUUUAUGACCUCGUCUACCCGACGAGGAUGCCUGGCCCAAGCUGGCAUACUAAGAGUUUUCCUGGAACUUGGGAACUGGGACAAAGAGGGACUAAGCCAGCAAGACCGAAAAGCAUGGCAGUCCCAGGACAGCCAUGAAAACCAUAUGUGAAUUAAUGAGUGAGCAGAUUGGAGCAGGACGUCACGUACAAAAUGCACUUAAAUCCUUGCCUCCUGGAGCUGAUGAUAAAGAAGAUGGACAAGUAAAACAUAUGGAAUGUGAAAUGGUGAUAAGAGUGAUGGAGAAAAUAAAACAGGAGAGGAGGUUGGAAUUGCCAG